GUCAAAGGGCAUCUGGGAGCAGAGCCCUGGGAGCAGAGCUCUGCCUCCCUCCCAGCCCCCACCUGCUGCUCUGCACGGGCUCCCCAGCCCAGUGGGCAGGGGUGUGGGUGACAGUGGAGGAUUUCCGGGCUCCAUGAAGGACCCAGGGGCCAGGCUUAUGACAGAGAGACCACUGCAGUCAAGGAGGGAUUCUGCUGCUCCUUCCUGCUCUCCACUUCCUCCCCUGGAUCAGGAAGAUGACGGAGGCACAGGCAGCCCAGGCUGGGCACAAAGCAUCCCCCAGCACAGGGCCAGCCUAAGCGGUCUGCUCGCCUCCCACCUCCGCCUCCUCUUCUCCAGGAGCAGCACCCCACAGCUGCCGCUUGUCACACCCGCAGCCAGCCGUGCUCCCCUCCACGCCCCCGAUGGCUCCUGCUGUGUUUCUGCUUCAUGGAGGAGGAAACGGAAGUUCAGAGGGGACCAGGAACUCGCUGAUAGCAGAGGGAGGCAAAGCCAGGAUUCGCACCCACGUCAUCUCCCGCCCGCCCACCAACGGCUUCCGAGUGGCCAUCUGUUGCUGGAAACCCUCUGGCAGAGGGAUCGGCAGAUGACUGGGGGCCGCUUGCUCUCGGGAGUGAAGACACUGCCGGGCCCCUCCUGAGGCGCGUCACUGAGACCUAUCCUCCAUCCUGUCCCCUGGGCAGGCCAGGCACAGGGUCCACCGCAUGCCCUACAGAUUUCCAGCACAUCUGGUUGGAGCAGCUGUGGGAGCCACACAGCCAGUGGCCCCUGUGGGUCCAGGACCCAGGAACCCUCAGGCUUGGAACCUGGCUGGCCUGCCAUCCCCACCUGCCAUCCCUUCCUGUCUCUCCGCCCCAGGCCCACUAAUCACACUCUGAACGCAGCCCUUGCACCUUCGAGGUCCUCGUUGUGUCAGCUGCCUACCCCUGUGCUCACGGCCCUGUACCCUGGCCAGGGGCAAACACUGCUACCCUCUGGGGUUCCUAAGGCCCAUCUGCCCCCGUUAUGCUCCUCCGCACAGGGCUGCCCUCUCCUCCCCGCCCCAGCCCUAGGCUGAGUGUCAGGGACUGUCCCCCUGCAGGGCAGGAACAGAGCUGCAGCAGCAGCGGGUGACAGGUGACCCCACACACCCAGGCCCUACAAGGGCAGGACCGGGGUCCCCUUUGGAAGAGCAGAUGGGGUGGGGUUGUGUAAACCCUGGUGCCCUUCUAAGGGUUUUCUAAGAUCCUAGAGAGCAAGCUGGUUCCCUGGAGUGGCAUGGGGGUCAGCUGGGAGGGGCAGGAGGCUCCACCGAGUCCCCAUAGUGCAGCCUGAGCCCAGGGGAUGGAGGAGGCCUGGUUCCAACCAGAGGGUGCAGACACAGGUGAGCAGACAGACAUGGGAAUACCUCCCGACCCGACCAGCGGGCUCCGGUUCUGGGCAUCUUGGCCUCACACCCAGCUCGGGGGUGGACCUCUGAGAGGACCAGGUCUGGCACACCGAGCUCCUGGAGGCCAGCAGAGGUCAGGAUGUUCUUGCUCUUGUGUCCAGUGGGUCUCCGGUUGGCACGAGGGCAGAGGACCGUGCCCCCUUCUGUUCUCGUUACUCAGCCGACCUGGGGCCCAGUGGGUGGCAUCAGGGGUAAGGAAGGUGCCCUGGGUGGCAGCGGGUGGCCCUGUCAGGGAGUGCGUGCGUCCUCCUUUAGGGCCAGAACCCACGACCACGCACCGGGUCAGCACACGGGCAGCCAGGCCACCAGCAAGGUUGGCGUGGGGCACACAGUGAGGCCCAGGGCACCAGGGUUCGCUGCCCCCCUCAGGAAGGGCCUGCUUUGGUUUAUGGGCCAUUGUAGACUGACGCCUUUAUAAAAUAAAACAAAAAGGCGCAACUAGAGAAAUGAAUACAAGGCCAGUAUUUUUAUUGUUAUAUUGGACAUUAACCGACCCUGUCCGAGGCCAUCAGCACCUGGGAAUGCUCUCAGAGACAGCUUCGCUGUGUGUUGUAGUCAGGGUUUUCAAGGGAAUCGAUUUAAUGCAGGACAUAUAAUUUAUAGGAUCAUUUUAUAAUAUUCACCCCAAACGUCAAAUGCAGAGGAGUGCAGGAGAUCUGUCCUCACCCUAGAGAACCGGAGAACACAGUUGAGGGUCUGGAUCCCAUGGCAGUGUCCCACACAAGUCAGGCCAGAGGCCUGGAGCCCAUGGUGAUGUCCAAGGACCAAGGGUAGGAACCAGAAAACCUGCGUCGGCAGGAUGAAGGACCUGUGCACCAGGCUGAGGGAUCCACGCUGGAGCCAGGAAGCGACGCUCAAGGUAAAGACCAGAGCUCCCCAAGAGAACAGCAGCCAUUCCCACAACAGCAAGUGCCUGAGCCCCGAUGAUGACGAGAACAGCUGAGUUCCCAUGAGGAAAACCAGCCGCGGCAAGCUUCUCCAGGAAAAUCAGCUGCAUGCGAUCUUCCCCUGCAGCUCUCCCUUUAUGCCGUUGCCAACAGUCCUCAGACUUUGCCAAUUCGAGGCAGGUGUGGCACCACUGAACAAAAUCCCUGGCCCGAGAUUAAUCUUUUCUGUUUCCAUUGGGCCCACUUUACAAAGCCAGUCGGGCAGGGUGAGGUCUUCCUGGGCUCCGUUCCUUCCCCUCUCCCACCGUCCCUCCCCCUUGUCCUGCCUUCCUGUGCACCUCACCUCCCACACGUCGGACUCACCCUCAAAGCCAAGGCCAGUGCUUAGGUCUUAAACCAUCCUCACAAUGCUUAGCUCUUCAUUAAGACCCUGAGUCAAAAGAGAAAGAAAAAAAAAAACACCAUGAAAUUGCUGAAGUUUGGAAACAUAGAAUUACUGAUGCCCUGGCAGUGGCUCCGGAAACUUCCAAACAACUUUGGGGGAUGGAAGGGGACAGGACCAGCAUGAGGCGCAGGGCCUGGGGGUCCUGAUGUGCAGUGACAGGCCGGGCAGGAGCCCUGAGGUGCCCUGUCUCGGCCGUGCCUGCAGGAGUCUGUGUCCCCCGCCCAGGGCGCUGAGCACUGCCUGUCCCCGCUGUGCCUCCUCCUGGACAGGGGUGGGUACCUGCUUGCUAACCUCCAGCCGCCCUCACCACAGAGACCUCCUGCUUUCUGCAGGAGGAGACCCCUGAGGGUGGCCGCAUGGGCACCCUGGCAUGCCUGGCAAGGCCACCUGAAGAAGGACUUGGUGACAGCCCUGGACAGUGGGUGGGGCCCCUGCGGACACCUGCGGGUGGCCACCUGUGUGGGGUGGAGGAGGCAGACAGGUGUGAGGUCAGCCCUGGCAGAGCAGAGGUCUUACCCAUGCCAGCCCCAGCUGGGAGGGGAGGCCCGGGCCUCACACCAGGCCUGCAGACGUGUGGGACAUGUUACUGCUGUGCGUGCCUUGUCCCCUGCCUGCCCCAGCUCUGUGCCCUACACCCCCCAGCGACGCUCUGUCCCCCUCAAGCCAUCUCAGCUCCUCACUGCGCUUCCCAGCAAACCACCCUCUCCCAGAGCUCCUGCUCCAAGCCUGAGGGAACUGCUUCCCCUUCCUGGGCUUGGGGCUGAUACCCGGAGGCCUCUCAGCCAGCAGCAGUGCUGUCAGCUGGUGGCCUGGGUGGCACUGUCCUGUGUGGGACCCAGAGGCUGCACAUGGCUAACUGGCGCAGUCAGGGUCUCCUGGAGCUGGAAGAGACUCCCACUGUCCUGCAAGCAGGGCUCCCGGAGGCAGGGACCGUGUGGUCUGUGUCAGCACAUGGGGACAUCACCCAAGAGGGACAGCAGCAGGCCCUUCCCGCCAGGUGGGCAACUGUGCCCACGGUGCCACCAUGGCCCUGGCUGGAGGCAAAAAGGUCUUGAACCCUCCAGGAAGGGUUCACAGGGCAGGGCGCCCUGGGCCCCUCAAGGCUGGAACCAAGCCCCGGGCUGCAGACGGGCAGUGAGCAUGGGCCUGGGCAUGGGCACAGGGGUCCAAGGCGUGGGGUCCCAGACCUUCCACAGCCCCAGGGCCACACGAGACAGCAUGGCUGGGGCCACACCUGAGGCCCUCCUUCAAUUGUGAGCCACAAGUAGAAAGUAAUGGUCGGGGCCUCAGAAAGUCCCGGCUCCGCUCUGCCCACCUCGGGUCCCUUGUUGGGCAGUGGAGUCCGCUGUCAGCCGGGUGAGCCCACAGCACCCACAAACCUGGCCGCUGGUGAGGAGGAGAGUUGGCAGAGGACAAAGUGUCACAGUCCAGCAAGAGAGAGAACAAGGAGGAUGCUUGGAAUUUGGAGAGAGGGAGAGGGAGAGGGAGAGCCCCGCUCCUGCUCCUGCUCUGAUCAAUCCGGUGCUCUUAGGGGAAUGAGCACUUCCCUCCUCAGCCGGCAGCCUCUGCCCAUCACACACACACACAGCACACGCGCCCAGAAACCCUCCUGCGAGCAGCACAUACAUGCAUACACAACAGCGCACACGCCAGCCAGACAGGCUUGGGGUGGUGUUUGCGGCACUCUGAGUGAGGUGCAGGGCCCUGUGUUCCCAUAGGCUGUCGUACUGAGGUCACAGUUGACGGCCAUGACCUCCCCGCAGGGUCAGAGGGGAAGGGCUCCGCUGCCCGUGGGGAGGUUCUGUCAGCUGCCAGCCCCAUGGGAGCUGGGGCCCCAGAAGAGCUUCGCACCCUCUUUGCAGCCACAUGACUUUGUGGAGAUGUAAAGGAUCCAGGGCUGCCCGGGUUCAGGGCGAGGGCUGGAACGUUGUACUCAAUGGGGCCCGGAGGAUUUUUGGGGAGUGGCACAGCUCUGCAUGACUGUCACAGGGACUCCUGCCAUUGUACAUGGAUCCAAACCUGGGAGUGCCCAAGCCCAAGCACAAACCUCGCCGACCUCAGACCUGGGUAACGAUAAUGUGGCAGUGUUUGCUCCUCAAUGGUGACCAGCGUCCUACACCGCUCCAGGCUGCCAACACAGAGGCACCACGGGGGAGAGGGCAGCAAUGAGGGAAUCUGUACUUUUUGUCCAUUUUUCUGUAAAAUGAAAACUGCUCUAAGACAAUAAAUUUCUAAUUAAAAAAAAGAAAGAAAGAACGAGGAGGAAAGAAUCAGGCCAAAGGCUUGGGUGUUUUGGGAACACAUCCCCUGCAUGGGCCCACCGCAGAGAGGCCAGCGGUGAGCGGCUGGGCUCUGCGCUCCUCAGCCCCAGGCCAGUCAGUGCAUCCUGGAGCACCUACCGUGCAAGGCUCCAGGCUGGGCAUGGGGCUGCCAGCCAGGCUGGGCCCCGUUUGCUGGCGUUUGCUUUGACAAAUCACUGCCGAGCCUGGAGGUGCCAGGCACUUGACUCACUCGGCUCGCAGUGCCCGAUCCUCCUGUCGCCGGGCUCCCCCACCAUGCCAUGGGUUUGGGAUUCUUGCUGGAUGUCACUUCAGGGCACUGCCAGCUAACAAAGACCAUGAAUGUACGGCUGAGGCACUGUCAUCUGCCACUGGAACUCCUGCCUGGUGUCCUGUGACCACACUGUGCCCCGCACCCACCUGGGUCAGGCCUGGAUGCCCACGGAGUGCAUGGACAAUGACAAAAGUCUCCUCUGGACAACAGCGAUGGGGACAAGGAAGCUGCUCCCUGUCAUUUGCCCACGGCUUGCUCUUCUGAGUAAACUCAAUUUCCUGAGCAUAUGCACGCGCACUCCCACACUCCAGACGCGCGCGUGCGUGCACACACACACACACACACACACACACACUUCUAAGUCUACACCCCUCAUCAUUCCUUUCAACAGCUGCUCCUCAGCUAGGAUUUCAGGCGAGAAUGAGCCUUACAAGAAAUGACCAAGGAGGCUGUGUUCUCAGUCCGCCAAUUUGCCGGCACCUUUCCAGGUCCAGGGGUGAGGAGGAAACUAAGGGGUGUCUCAGGAUAUUACCUCACCUUCCGCCUGGAGCCCUGGUAGAAAGGAGCAUGCCAGCCCCUCCUCUACUGCAAGCACCAGCGUUUCUCUUGGGUUACCAGAGUGAGCCAGCCGGCUUCCCCUAUGGACUCGGCUGAGGCGGUGGAGGGAAGGACCCGUUGUCGAUGCUGGCUUAGUGGAGCGCCCUCAGAAGGCCACCCUGUUCUCGGCUUGUGCUGUGAUGUCCUCCAAGCUGGCCACACAGGAACUUUCCCAAGGCCAGGGAGCCCCAGGGAGCUGUGUGGUGCCUCAGCAGCCAUACCGCUGUCUGCACGGGACCAGACUCCUCAUCACCCGGCUUCUGCUACUUCCUCUCCUGGCUCCCACACCCCAGCAGCAGGGACACUCCUUGCACUGGACAGAACUGAUCCCGCAGUUUAGCCCAUUUUUUAAAAAACCUAGUGAAAUACUGAUCGCCAGGGGCAGAUAACUGGUCAAGAGGAAGAAGGCGGCAACAUUCACCAUGAUGGACAUGGGCCAUGGAGCAAAUCAGGGUGCUCCAAAGGGAGCAACUAGAAAUGACUUGCUCCUGAUGGAAGGACAUAGCACCUAUGAGGACAUCACAGCAUCACAUGGAUGAUGUCACUGCCAUCAUCGGUGUCACCAUCAGCACCUCUGUCGUGAUCAACACGAUCACCACCAUCAUCAACAUCCUAGCCACACUAGAGACUAAUUAAGCCCUGGAAUAACCCACAAGUUUACAGGAAACUCAGAGACAGGGACAUAUUAAAGAACACUACAGAGAUGCGGCCAGCAGAAUCCAGAGUCCAGGGAAUUCUACAGGACCGAUGACCAGGGAACAGCAAGUGGAACGGGGGCAGGAGAGGAACAGAAAUGAGGGGAGAAGGGAAGGGUCAGAGUUCAAAGGAGACCUUGGAGUGAUAUUGAGCUGAGGAUUUAGUAAUCAAACAAACCAGCUGUAAAAAGAGAGGCAGCUGCUGGGAAACUUUAGACAGUGACAAUCAGAUUAUUGAGGAGUUAAUUGUUAACAUCUUAGGUGUGAUAAGGGCAUAUGGUCAUACUUUGUAAAGAAUCUGUGAUCUCUAAAGCUAACCACGGAAGUGUUUUUCUGCUUUAAAAAACCUAGAGACAGGAGAUGGGGGGCAGUUAUGGGGGGUUAGGGGAUGUUGUGGAUUAGCCAAGAUUGACUAUGCUAUUUUGCUCCCUCCACUGUCUUUGAUGUUUGAUCGAAAAGUUUCAGAUACAUGGCCAAAAAAGAAUGACAAACGUGCACUGUGAGGCUCAGCUUUCCUGUCUUCUGAGUCCAGCCCAGGGCUCAGCACGAGGUGGGAAGUGGGUGCCCCCCACAUGCCCCGGGAGAAAGCAUAGCUUCUGUCACACUUAGCUUCAAACCUCAUCUUCUGGGAAUGUGUAGACACCUCUAUCUUACAGCCCAUGAAGUAUUUUGGUGCACUAGUCCUUGUGGCAUCAUUAAAAACAAAUCCAUAUACAGACA